UUUUUUCAUUCCAAACCGCUCAGUCCACAAAAGAGCCACGACAUCUAUUCAGAGUUGAAUUUUUUCAGGAUGAAGAAGUUUUUAGUAAUUGCCCUGUUGGUAAUGUUAGCUGUCAGUGUGGCCUUUGCCAUGCCUAGUGAAUCUGACAUGGAAGGAAGACGAAUGUAUAAACGCUAUCUAGGCAAGAAGCAGUGUAGAAUAGAUCUUGACUGCAAGCCGAGAAUGUACUGCAAACAUCGAUUAUGGUCAGACGAUACUUGCGAAUGGCGUUAACCUAGCCAAAAAAGUACCAUAAAGAUGAUUCCAAUGCAUGGUUUGUCAAUAAACUUCAAGGAUGAAUAUGUA